UAUGGUGUUUUCCGGAAAGGUGGUGUCAUAGUGUCAUGAUUCUUUGCUAAAACCCAUCAAGUUGUCAUUCCCAUUAAUCCUUCCUAAUCCCAGUGUCUAGGUGAAGAGUGAUCACACCACACUUGGGGUGCAGAAAAGCUAUAGUGAUCUUUUCCCUUGUUCCUGGUUUUAUUCUCCCUAUGUGGGUGCAGCAUUUUAAGGCAGGUUGCAGCUCAGCAUCACCCUUUUGAUUCUCUCUAACCAUUCCUUUGCAUCGUGGCAACACAGAGCUUUCACAGCAUAAACAAGUCCAAGGAAUAGAUGGAUUUCCUCACUAUGAAAUAAGUAAAGCAGAUGAUUGAAUAAAGUUUCAUUUCCCUGCCUGGUUCAGCAGCUCUCUCUUGCUCUAUUACAUUUCCUAACUUGCCUCAGCAACUCUCUUACCCAGCUCUGUGACUCCCUGAGUGGGUGAUGCUCUUGGGUUUCCUCUGCACUUGAAAUCCUGGCCUGACCCUUUUACACGGGGCCAAAUGCUGCUCUUGAUUCCCCCGGGUUAAUCCGGAGUAAAUCCUGGGAUUAACAGGAUUUAACCCUGUGCUGCCUGAAUGCUGCGUGCAGCCCUGACUUGUGGUGUUGCCCAGGGUCUGCUGGGACCCGUGUCCUUGCUAGGAACCACAGGUUGGGUAAAGAAAUGCUGAAUAAACUAAUAAACCACCCCAUACUCCACAAGCAAUGGCAGGGCAGUCGUCUCCUGAUGGAGUAGAUCCACCCAAAAUCGCCCAAAGUCAUCCUUAGCAAAACCAUCUCUUCCUCCCAAUUUCACAUCUUUCCUCCCUCUCUGCCUGCCCUGAGAGUUUAGCUGCACUGUUUAUCAGGAUUUAUUUUGUUUUCUUUCUCCCUGGUUUCUUCCCUAGGAGCACACGACAUCCAGAAUGGGGGUUUGGGCAGCUGUGCCCAUCCCAUGAAGAUUAUUCUCUGCUCUUCCCUCCUUGGGAUGGUGGCACAGGGUUUUGUUCUAGUGGUUUUCUCUGGGAGCCUGGAUGAAAUAUUCAGGACCUUUGUUUGACCAAGCCUGUGUGGGAUUGGUUUUUCUACCUGCUUGGUAUUUUCUUGGCCUGAAGUGAACAAGAACAGGUUCUGCCUCUGUAGGACCCAGGCAAGGAGCUCAUCCUUCCUCUGGCUGCAUGUUCCUGAAACUCUUUCCAUGUCCAUCAUCCCCCGAGGAGGCUGUGGCUCCAGCUGGGUGUGGAGGGCACAAAGUGUGAGAAUUGGCCCUGAGGGCAGCUGAAUGCAAGUGGUUCUGUGCAGCCCAAGGAUCUCCAUCCCAUGGAUUGCCAAUGUGCAGCUUGGAUUGAUUCUGAAUCUCCUCGAGGCUUUGGAGCGGAGGGGAGCACCAAAGCACCACAGAAACUCAACCCCACCAUCACUGACACCACCACCCCACUUCCCAAAUCAACCCUGACACAGUGUUGAAAUUGUUCAUAAAACGAGUAAUCAAGCUGCUAAUAUCUGCAAUCAUCAUUUUGGAAAAAAAAAGAGAUAAUAGGGCAACCAUCAGGGAGUACAGUUAAUGUAUAAAACAAUUACUGUAGUCAGAUGCUUAAGUAAGAGCCAUAGUGGUAACGAAGACAUUACUGUACAGAGCACAGUGUGCAAUACAGAGGCGAUUUUAUUUGUGAUGCCAGGAUGGAAAAAAAAAAGCCUCUAAGAGGAAACUGAGGCAUUUUCACCAGAUUUUCACCAGCAGCCUCUUUCCUUGGUAUGAAACCUGCUAACACGUGUGCACACACACGUAUAUCUGCACACAAAUCCAGCUUUAACUUGGUAUCACUUGUAGAAAUUAAUAUGAUUAUUUAAAUCACACUUAUUUGCUGCCAGCUAGCUCAUGUCAGUGGUCAUGUCUCUUUUAAAUACUAUAUAUGCAAUAGUAGCAAUUUCAAAUCCUAACAACAGCAAUCAGCCAGGAGAGCUUUGCUUCAAGUGGGCCGUUUAAACAAAAGCUUCUCAGUCCCAGUUUUGAUAAGGAUCUAACUGCUAAUCUUUUAUUUUGCAUCCAGCCAGUCUUGGGCACAGCUCUUCCCUCCCUGUGAGACUCUCUCAGGGAGCAAUGAGAACAUUGAUUUUUGUUUUUACACCACAAUGAUUUCUCCCCACUAUAUUUUCUCCAGUAUUUGGUGGGUUUUGCUCAGCUUUAAUUGCUACAAAGCUCUCCUGUUUUCUGUUGUUAGCACUAAAUCCCUGCCCUGUUCUCUGCCACACGGCAGUAGUUGGGACAUUUUAUUGUCUCUUUAAUCCCAAAUCUUCUGCCGUGCAUCUUCCUCUGCAAGCAGGAAACGCUGCCUGGAGAACCCCAAAGCACAGAGAAAAAACAUGAAGGGUACAAAGAAAAGGGCUGGCUGGGACAUCCUGGUUAAAUACCUGUGGAGCAGGAGAUGUUUGCUGGGAGAGGGGUGCUGGGAAGGAAUUUUGCUGGUUUUAGCUUAAGGAUGAAUGUGAGGAUGGAAGUACCUGAAACAUCUUAACUGGAGUGCCUUGGGUUUAUUCAGAAAGUUUCUGUCUAUGCAGCCAAUAUUGUAAUCAGUAAUUGUUUAAAUUAAACCUCUCAUUUUAGAUGUCCCAAUUUUCUAUUAAUAAAAUAUUUUUCCCUGGAGUGAACAUUUUUUUAAUGUAUACAAGAUAUUUUAGUGCUUUCCCUGCCUUCAAUUUCAAAAAGUUAAGAAAAAGUCAACAUUUAAAAUACUUUUAUCAGCUUUAAUAAAAACAUUAUCACUCUAGUUUUGGGCUUAUGCUAUGAUCUGCAUAUUAGUAGAACUCAAAGCCAGCAAAAUUAUAUCUCCAUUUGAAUAAAUGAAGAGACUGA